rnacentral:rRNA from 1 species
AAAAAAGGUGACCUAUGUCUUAUCAUCAACCCAUCGUAUGUCUCAUAGAAUGUAAUCGAUAUCCUCGCCCUAAAAAAGCGUUGAUAACUUAUACAACUUUCAACAACGGAUCUCUUGGCUCUCGCAUCGAUGAAGAACGCAGCGAAAUGCUAUAAGUAAUGUGAAUUGCAGAUUUUCAGUGAAUCAUCGAAUCUUUGAACGCACCUUGCGCUCCUUGGUAUUCCGAGGAGCAUGCCUGUUUGAGUGUCAUUAAAUUCUCAACUCCAAGGGUUUCACGACCUUUCGGAGAUUGGACUUGGAGGUGCUGGCCGCAUAUUGGUCGGCUCCUCUCAAAUGCAUCAGCGGAAUUCAACCUUUGGCUUCCGGAUGUCAGUGUGAUAAUCAUGUUGCGCUGUCGUUUGAUCCCUCAGAGUCCGCUUAUAAUGGUCUUCGGACAAAAUCAUCAUCAAAUUUGACCUCAAAUCAGGUAGGACUACCCGCUGAACUUAAGCAUAUCAAUAAGCGGAGGA